rnacentral:rRNA from 1 species
UAAACAUUGAUAGCACAUCACACAAACUAUCCGCCCGGGAACUACAAGCGCUAGCUUAAAACCCAAAGGACUUGGCGGUGCUUAAGAUCCACCUAGAGGAGCCUGUUCUAGAACCGAUAACCCCCGUUAAACCUCACCCCCCCUUGUCUCUCCAGCCUAUAUACCGCCGUCGUCAGCUUACCCUGUAAGGGCCUAAAAGUAAGCAAAAUUGGUACAACCCAAAACGUCAGGUCGAGGUGUAGCGCAUGGGGGAGGAAAGAAAUGGGCUACAUUCCCUAGCAUUAGGGAACACGAAUGAUAAAUUGAAAUAUUUACCCGAAGGAGGAUUUAGCAGUAAGCAGAGAACAGAGCGCUCCGCUGAAAUCGGCUCUAAAGCGCGCACACACCGCCCGUCACUCUCCCCGAAAAAACAAACCCAUUUAACUUAAAACCCAAAACACAUAAAGGGGAGGCAAGUCGUAACAUGGUAAGUGUACCGGAAGGUGCACUUGGACAAAU